rnacentral:misc_RNA from 1 species
AACUUUUGGCAAUGGAUCUCUUGGCUUUCGCAUCGAUGGAGGACGCCGCGAAAGUGCGAAACGUAAUGUGAAUUGCAGAAUUCAGUGAAUCAUCGAAUCUUUGAACGCAUCUUGCGCUCCUUGGUAUUCCGAGGAGCAUGCCUGUUUGAGUGUCGUGAACCUCUCUCAAUCCCACCUCUGUGGGCUUGGAUUUGGAUGUGAUGCCGUGGGUGAUUAUUGCAAUACUGGCUCGGCUCAUCCGAAAUUCAUCAGUUGGCCCUCUAUACGAGUUUGGUGGUGUGAUAAGAAACACUUGUAGCGCCAUUUCAAAACCUGGGGACUUGACUGCUUACAAUCUCAGUUUGACCUCAAAUCAGGUAGGACUACCCGCUGAACUUAAGCAUAUCAAUAAGCGGAGGCU